CGCUACCAUCGUAUGCCUCGACGGCCAAUCCAGGUCUGUGCAUCAUGCUGAGUAACUGGAAUGAUACAAAUCUCCCACACUUUUUACAGCAUCAAGUCUGGAGGGCAAGUCUGGUGCCAGCAGCCGCGGUAAUUCCAGCUCCAAUAGCGUAUAUUAAAAUUGUUGCAGUUAAAAAGCUCGUAGUUGAAUUUCUGUUAAAAAUAACCGGUCUGCUUUUAUUAAAAGUGGUAUCUUGGUGUGUUUUUAGCAAUAAUGUCCUUUGAAAUGUUUUUUACUUUAUUGUAAUAAGUCAUUAUUUUGAGGAUUUUUACUUUGAGAAAAUUAGAGUGUUUCUAGCAGGCUUUCACUCUUUUAAACACUGCCACGUGAAAUAAUAAUAUAAGAUUUGAGCUCCACAAUAGGGGUUUUGAGAUCUAUUUUUAUUUUUUAUGGGGAUAGUUGGGGGCAUUUGUAUUUCACUGUCAGAGGAGAAUUUCUUAUAUUUGUUAGACACAAACCUCUGCAAAAGCAUGUGCCAGAUAUGUUCUC
rnacentral:rRNA from 1 species